rnacentral:piRNA from 1 species
UAAGAGAGUGUGAAGAAGGUGACGACCUC